UACGUAGGGUGCAAGCGUUAAUCGGAAUUACUGGGCGUAAAGCGUGCGCAGGCGGUUUUGUAAGUCUGUCGUGAAAUCCCCGGGCUCAACCUGGGAAUUGCGAUGGAGACUGCAAGGCUAGAAUCUGGCAGAGGGGGGUAGAAUUCCACGUGUAGCAGUGAAAUGCGUAGAGAUGUGGAGGAACACCGAUGGCGAAGGCAGCCCCCUGGGUCAAGAUUGACGCUCCAUGCACGAAAGGCGUGGGGAGCAAACAGG
rnacentral:rRNA from 1 species